CCUGCAACUCCUCUACUCCAAACAUAAACCUUCACUAGAUGUAAACCUACAAGCUGUGCAGUGUUAUAAACAGAACUCUAAAAGUGACCCAUUUUUCAAUAUCCAAAAAUUAAUCUUAUCUCUAAAAAUAAGCUGAAAAAUAUGUUUUUAAACAUAGAAACAUAGAAUGAGACGGCAGCUUAGAACCAUUUGGCCCAUCUAGUCUGCCCAAUUUUUUUUCGAAAUC